AUUGCACUCGGUUCUUCAAAAAUGUUCUGUGGAUGCUCACGACACAAUGCAGAGGCAUGUUUAUAACAUGUGAUGUAACUAAAAAAUUCUAGAAGUUGAACGUGUAAGGUUUUUAACAUAUUUACUUUUCUUGAAAGCAUUGGUGAGUUCAAAAAGCGUCUUCAGCUUCUUUUUGCCUUCCAUGGUCACAUCAGCACCGAGAUUUGUCAGAAAUCUAAUUCAAGUCUUGGCCAUGAGGAUAAUGUGAAGAUUUUGUGCAAUACUUUUGGCUACUACAUACAGUUCUUGCCGAUUAUUAUGGAGCAAUUAGCAUCUAACAGAAAGAAUAUUGUGGAAGAAUUGAAAGAAAAGUUGUGCAAAUGGGAACGUAAUGAGUGGUAUAUGACAAUGGAGACUUCAAAGCGGACCCGUGAGAAAUUUAAAAAGUUGAUUCAGAAGUAUACUGAUGUGCUGAAGCAACCUCUAAUGUUUAUUAUCAAUCAAGCAACUGGUCAAAGUGGAUUAAAAACACUAGCAACUAAUAAUCGAACAUUGUUUUGUAAUUCUUUUGUGAAAUAUUAGCCAGUUCUGGAUGUUGCUUGCCAAGUAAUACAUUUGGGAAACGAAAAGAGGUUCAUAUGGCCUUCCACUUGGAGAAAUAAAGUGGAUCUUGCACUGGAAGAUAUGCGAGCCACAGAUUUCAAAAAGCCUAACUGCACAUGUGUCCUAUUGCAUGAGGCAGAAGAUAUUAUCCUGAAGUCCAUAGAUAUUUUAUUUUCAAGUGAUGUGACAAAGGAAGAGUGGGACGAAAUCCAAUACACAUUUAAAAAAAUAAGCACAAAUAUUAUUGAUUGUGGUGAACUUUGGAAGGAAGAGAAAAAGAGUUUGCCAAAAAGACGGGCUCUAGCCGAACUACCAAAACUUCUCGACAGUUAGUGGAUUAGCUAAGCAUAGACCUGCAUCCAAUGAGGCCCGCACAAGGGUGGUGUUCUGAUAGGCUCGUUCAAGGGUGGUUUCCUGACUAUUGCAGUGGAUUGCAUGCUGCAACUGCUCAAAAUGAAGUUCAAUGUGGGAUGACACUUGUCUUACGACCUAAAGGUAUUGACUUGAAGGAUUUUUUUGUUUUUUGCUGCUCUUAGUGCCAAAUCACAGGGGAAAGAUGUUGGUGUUACAGAAUGUGAAGGGGGCGCUACUACUAAAUUUCAUGGAAUGCACCUAGUUAGUUUGCUAGAGAUGGUUGGGUCGAGUAAUGGGUAUUUUUUGCGCUGGUCAAGAUGGGUUGAGUUGGGUUUGGGAAUACCUGCAAAUUUCGAAACAGAACAACUUAGGAUGUUUUCUUUUUGUCCUAGGGUAACUUUUGACUUAUUUUUGUCACUGUUGGAAGCCAAAUAAAGGGUCUUGGCGAUCUGAUCUUGGAGUUCA